GGUGACUCUGGCUCUUGCAGGAGGUGGGCUACUACAGGGACAUGAGCUGCCUAACUGCCAUCCUCCUCCUGUAUCUGCCAGAGGAAGACAACUUCUGGGCACUGGAUCAGCGGAUGGCUGAGGAGAGGCACUCCCUGCAGGGCAAAUCUGGAGAUUUUCUCAAGCCUCUUUAUGAAAAUGGAGAGACCUCACAAGAGAUGCUAAUGGACAGCUGACCCUGCUCCCUGCUCCAUCACAGGUGCGUAGUAUACAAACCUCUACUAACUUCUUGGGCUUCUGAAUAAAGGAAAGGACUACCUAAUGACAGUAAUAGCUUGACUGCUGAAGAAUUAUGUCAAUUAAUAAAAAUUGCUUCAUAGGAAAAAGAUGAA
ensembl:lncRNA novel transcript